AAAGUCGUAACAAGGUCUCCGUUGGUGAACCAGCGGAGGGAUCAUUACCGGAUUAACACUCCCGUAAACCACUGUGAACCUACCGCAAACGUUGCCUCGGCGGGCUCUCUGCCCGCCGGCGGCCCCCCACUCUGUCUCUCUGCGUUGGCAUCUCCGAGAAAAAGCACAAAACAAAUCAAAACUUUCAACAACGGAUCUCUUGGUUCUG
rnacentral:misc_RNA from 1 species